rnacentral:misc_RNA from 1 species
GAAAUGCGAUAAGUAAUGUGAAUUGCAGAAUUCAGUGAAUCAUCGAAUCUUUGAACGCACAUUGCGCCCGCCAGUAUUCUGGCGGGCAUGCCUGUUCGAGCGUCAUUUCAACCAUCAAGCCCCCGGGCUUGUGUUGGGGACCUGCGGCUGCCGCAGGCCCCGAAAACCAGUGGCGGGCUCGCUGUCACACCGGGAGUAGUAGAUUUUUCGUCUCGCCCAGGGCGUGCUGCGGGUUCCGGCCGUUAAAAAGCCUCUCUUUUAACCCAAGGUUGACCUCGGAUCAGGUAGGAAGACCCGCUGAACUUAAGC